UCGUGUCAAAUUCGCAUCGAAAAAAAGAGAUUUGUCCUCUCCUAUACUCCUAUAAAGAAAUCAAAAAAAUUUUCUUAAAAUCUCGUCUAAUACUAAUAUCUAAUCACUAACUAAUCUAAAAUCUAAUAAAAUAAUAAGUAAUAAAUUAAGCUUCCAUUUCAACACGGAACGGAACAAAGGGGACAAUAUACAGGAUGGGUAGAAAGAGUUGUGCUACUUGGCUUGAUUCAGGGAAACUACAAACUACAGGAUAGAAAAAAAUAUACCAAUCCUAAGAAUCCGUAGGAUUUAUUGUGGAUCCAAGACAACAAUAUUCGAGAUGAGAAAUUUCAAGAAACUUAUUUUCUUCCAAGAAAUAGAUUAAGAAUUAAGGUAAGGAAUGAAAAAUAUGAAAAUAAGAGCUUUCAUUCGUAAAAUUUAUGAAAAUGUCGACUAAUCCGCAGGCGGGGAUGAAUUAUAGUAAUUUGUUCCAACCCGAGAUAUAAACAAAGACAGGGAUAAUCAGACUUGCCAGAAGAGCCGAUGUAUAAAUAAAGAAUCUAUUUUGACAUAAAAUGGAUAUAUCCAUAUAUCUCUGACUCAUAUUUACGAGAUGAUAAAAUAUGGCAAAAGCUAUAUCGAAAAUUAGUUCACGUAGGAAUGGACGUAUUGGUUCACGUAAGGGUGCAUGUAGAAUACCAAAGGGAGUUAUUCAUGUUUAAGAAAGUUUUGAUAAUACCAUUGUCACUGUUAUAGAUGUACGGGGUCAAGUAGUUUCUUGGUCCUCUGCUGGUACUUCUGGAUUUAAAGGUAUGAGAAGAGGAGCACCAUUUGCUGCUCGACCUGGAGCAGCAAACGCUAUCCGUACCGUAGUGGAUCAAGGUAUGAAAUGAGCAGAAGUCAUGAUAAAAGGUCCCAGUCUCGGAAGAGAUACAGUAUUAUAAGCUAUUCGUUGAAGUGGUAUGCUAUUAACUUUCCUACGGGAUGUAACUCCUAUGCCACAUAAUGGCUGUAGACCUCCGAAAAAAAGACGUGUGUAGAGCUGAACAUUGAAGAAAUCUCAAGAGAAAUAAAAGAUUCGAUGAUCUAAUCAAAUAAUAGUACUAGAGUUUGAGAGAAAGUAACAUUAUCUACUCGGACACUACAGUGGAAGUGUGUUGAAUCAAGAACAGACAGUAAACGCCUUUAUUAUGGAAACUUUAUUCUGUCUCCACAUAUGAAAGGCCAAGCCAACACAAUAGGCAUUGCAAUGCGAAGAUCUUUACUUGGAGAAAUAGAAGGAACAUGUAUCACACGUGUAAAAUCUGAGAAAGUCCCACAUGAAUAUUCUACCAUAAUGGGCAUUCAAGAAUCGGUACAUGAAAUUUUAAUGAAUUUGAAAGAAAUUGUAUUGAGAAGUAAUCUAUAUGGAACUUCUGACGCGUCUAUUUGUGUCAAGGGUCCUGGAUAUGUAACUGCUCAAGAUAUCAUCUUGCCGCCUUAUGUAGAAACCGUUGAUAAUACACAACAUAUAGCUAGUUUAACAGAACCAAUUGAUUUUUGUAUUGGAUUACAAAUAGAGAGAAAUCGUGGAUAUCUUAUAAAAACGCCACAUAACUUUCAAGAUGGAAGUUAUCCUAUAGAUGCUGUAUUCAUGCCUGUUCGAAACGCGAAUCAUAGUAUUCAUUCUUAUGGGAAUGGAAAUGAAAAACAAGAGAUACUUUUUAUCGAAAUAUGGACAAACAGAAGUUUAACUCCGAAAGAAUCACUUCAUGAAGCAUCCCAAAAUUUAAUUGAUUUAUUUAUUCUCUUUUUACAUUUGGAGGAAGGCAAUUUAUAUUUAUAGGACAAUCAACACACGGUUUAUUUAUCCCCUUUUAUCUUUCAUGACAAAUUGGCUAAACUCAUAAAACACAAAAAAAAAUAGCAUUGAAAUUAAUUUUUAUUGACCAAUCAGAAUUGCUUUCCAGGAUCUAUAAUUGCCUCAAAAUAUCCAAUAUAUAUAUACAUUAUUGGACCUUUUGAAUAACAGCCAAGAAGAUCUUAUAAAAAUUGAACAUUUUCCUAACGAAGAUAUAAAAUAGAUAUUGGGCACUUUAGGAAAAUAUUUCGUAAUUGAUUUAGCAAAAAAUAACUUUUAAAUCUAUUGGACUUAUUUAGUAAAAAUAGAUUGAAAUCUUUAGCACAAUUGAUAUAUCAUAUAUUAGAAAUAAAUUCAGAAUUAAAUUGACUAGAUGUAACUAGGGAGAAUUCGCUUUGAAGAAACUAUUCCCUAGAUACACAUGUCGUGUUAUUUCACAAUUGAAUCAAUUAAAAAUAAAAAAUUUAAAAAAGACCUAAAGUUAGGGAUUUAUCAAUAGGUAAUGUUGCACCAAUGCCCAACCAAAGGGCGACUGCGGUACCAAUCAAAAAGACAGUCGUCGCUACUGGACGGCGAAAUGGAUUUUGGAAUUUAUUAACAUUCUCUAAAAAAGGUACUAUUAAUAAUCCCGCAGGUACUGAAACCAUUAAAAGAACCCCCAACAAUUUAUUGGGCACUGUACGAAGUAUUUGAAAUACAGGAAAGAAAUACCAUUCAGGUAAGAUUUCCAAAGGGGUUGCAAAUGGAUCUGCCGGUUCACCAAUCAUUGAUGGUUCUAAAACGGCUAAGCCUACAUUACAUGCAAUAGUACCUAGAAUUACUACUGGAAAAAUAUAUAAAAGAUCAUUGGGCCAUGCGGGCUCUCCAUAAUAAUUAUGACCCAUACCUUUAGCCAAUUUAGCUCUUAAUACAGGAUCAUUCAAGUCAGGUUUUUUUGUUAUUGGGAUAGGUGAAUUCUUAUAGAUCCAUCCCCCGAGGGAACUGGACAUGAUAAUUUUUAAUCAUCCAGCUCGAGCAAGAAUAAAAAGAACCAAAUGAAUCCAUAUAUCCAUAUAAAAUAUAUAUAUGGUACCUGUCUUUACACAUCCACAUAUAUGAUAGAGGAAUGGUUCAAUGUAAGAAAAAUUUGACUGAAUUCUUUUUUAUGGAAUUGCAACUAUCCAUUACAAAACAAAGAAUUCCGUUCUUACAAGUAAAUACUCAAGACCCGAGUAGGCUUACAAAUCAGAUCAUGAUAUGAUCAAGUGCUUUCUGGGUCGUCUCAGACCUUCUAAUUGGUAUUUAUCUCCAAAAUGCUUGGAGAUACACAUACAAGGUUUGCUUGUUACUAAUAUAGUCUAGCCUCUCUUCUUCUUUAGAUCCCUUGUUUCACUCCGAUAGUAGUAUUGAUCGUGUCAAUGCAGAGGAAAUGAAUACAUUUACAUACUAUUAAAUCUUAUAAGUGAACUAGAUAAAACGGAAUCUUGAUUCCGUUUUAUCUAGUUCACUUAUACUGGACCUUACGGAGCCUGCUCAUGUACAACAUGAUUCGGACCUGAUCAUAGAAAAGAUUCCCUUUAAGCGAACCAGCCUAUCCUCUGUAUAGGGCUUACACGGCGAUUGGAACAAAGACACAUUUGGUUGUGAAUUCCCAUGUGGCAGGCAUAUAUCUACACAGACCAAUCAAUAAUUCAAGUCACACACUCCCAUAAUCCAUUUUCUCUUCACAAAAUUCCCUUCAAUCCCCCCAUUUAGUUGACAUGAAUAGUUAAAGGGAAAUAUCCAAAUCCAUGUCUUAUUAUUUUCAAUAAGCCAUUCUUGUAACAAUGAAAUACUAUAUAUUCCUCCACCAAGUGAUAAGUGAUUGAUUACAAAUAUUUAGGAUAUUUUUUUUUUGCUCUAUCUAUAAAGGCCCAGAAAUACCCUGUUUACGUAUCACUGGAAAGUGCAUUAACAUAAAUACGGCAGCAAGAAGUGGCAAUACAAAAGUGUGUAAACUAUUAAAAUGAGUCAAAGUAGAUUGUCCCACACUAGCGGUUUCGCUCAAUAAUUUGACCAAAGGUGAUCCUAUUAUAGGAAUAGCGUUAGGGACACCUGUUACUAUUUUCACUGCCCAAUAACCAAUUUGGUCCCAAGGUUAGGAAUAACCAGUUACGCCAAAAGAUGCGGUUAAUACAGCCAGAACCACACCUGUAGCCCAAGUCAAUUCGCGAGGGUUUUUAAAUCCGCCAGAAUGAGAUAUACACGAAAUACAUGCAGGAGCAUCAUUAGGACUAUUAUACUUGCCGACCAUCAAUGAACUGAUCGGAUUAACCAACCAAAGUUGGCUUCAGUCAUUAUGUAUUAAACAGAAGCAAAAGCCUCAGUAAUGGUCAGCCGGUAGUAAAAUGUUAUAGCAAACCCAGUAGCUACUUAUACUAAAAAAUAAGUAAGCGUAAUUCCCCCUAAACAAUAAAAUAUAUUGAUGUGGUAGGGAACGUAUUUACUAGUUAUAUCAUCCACAAUCGUUGGAAUCUCGAGACGUUCUUCGAACCAAUCAUAUACUUUAUUGAUAUAGGCGGAACUCCCCCUUGAGAAACGUAUAUGAGACUUUCAUCUCAUACAGGUCAAGCAAAAACACCCAAAUACUAGUUGUAACGGAUAUGGAAUAGAAAGUUUUAAAGUUAUUAAGUUCUAAUCCCAUCUUCUCUGGAAAAUCCAAAAGCUCUUCUUUGUGGCGAUAAUACCAAAAUAUCAAGUUGGCGCAGUCGUCUUUAUCUUUAUUUUGAUACUUAUGGGCCUCUUGAAUUCUCUUUUUCCCUAUUUCUUUCUAGAAUUUGUUUUUGUGGAAUAUGUCUUUUAUUCUUUGUUUUCUUUAUUAUUGAUAGGAAUUCUCUUGUUAAGACCCUAUGAAUCGAUUAAAACCUCAGAUUCAUACUAGAACCAUGAUGAUUCAAUAAAAAAGACCUAACCUAAAUCAAAUCAAGAAUUCUCUGAGUAAGAAUCCUCGGAUCAUCACUUAUUCCUUGAAUAAAUAGAAUGACUAAAAAUUCAAAGAAACAUUUUGCUUUUGGUCAAAAUAUAAAUUAGGGGUUGAAAGAAAGGAAUCUUUCGAUUUAGAAAUUCGAAUUCUUUGUUUGAAAAUUUUUUGGAGCCUGGACACGGGGUCUGAAUAUUAAGUAUGAAUCAUAGUUCAAAUAUUUCUUAAUCUAUUUCGUGUUCCAAAUAGUAGAAUAAAUAUCUGACGAAGUAGAAUCAUCUCUAUCAAGAUGACAGACUCAUUCUCUGUACUAUCAAUAGGAUCAAUUAUAACAAGUCAGACACUCAUACUCCAGAAAUAUAGAAACAAUGAAAUUCUACGAUCGAACUACCAAAACAAAAUAGAAUGUACUAUAAAUCGGAGCUCUAAAUGAUUCAUUUUGGACUCAAAAGUAAGGACUUUGCGGUUUUUAUAGAUUUAAUUCAUUGAAAUUCCAUCCAAUAAAAUGGAAGAAUUAUAAAUCUCCAAAAUAAUAGAUAGAAAUACCGCAAAUAAGGCCAUUGCGACACCCAUCAAUGGAGUAGUUCCCCACCCAGGAGCUACUUCACCAUAUUCUGAAUUCAAUGGUUUUAAUAAAUCUCCUACUACAGUUCGUCUUAGACCAUAUUUAGAACUGUUCUCAAUAGUUUGUGUAGCGAUAAAUCCUAUUGUAUUCAUUGAGAUCUAUUGACUUUGUAUACCAUUCCGUUGUAAAUAAACGAUCCUAUCAUUGAUCCAUUGGGGUCUUGAUAUUAUAUAAAUAUGAUAAGAAUAGAAACAGCAACCCUAGUCGCCACUUUAAUAUCUGGUUUACUUAUAAGUUUUACUGGGUAUGCCUUAUAUACCGCUUUUGGGCAACCUUCUCAACAACUAAGAGAUCCAUUCGAGGAACAUGGAGACUAGUUGAAGUACUGAGCCUCCCGAUAUCGGGAGGCUCAGUACUUCAACUGAGAUAAUGAAAAAUUAUUUCACCUUUUUAGUUCUUUUUAGUUGGAACUUUAGCCGGUUCUUAAAAAAAUAUAGCGAAAAAAAUUAUCCCUAGAGUCGAGACUAAGAGGAAUGUAUAAACCAAUUCUUCCAUAGAUUCGAUCGUGGUUUACAAUUAUAGCUUUCAUACUUGUUUGUUUCUUUUUAUUUUCUUUUUUUAUCAUCUUCCAGAUAAAGAACUAACAAGAGUAAAAACAAAGUUGAUUCAAAUAAAGAUUUCUCUGGUACCCUUUGUCAAUAAAAGUAAAAGAAAGAAAAUAAGGGUAAAAGAAAGAAACCAAAGCAAUGCUGUAUCAGGCUGCCUGUCUUUUUGUAGUUGGAUCUCCAAGUUUUAGGAAUACCCCAAAUUCAACUUGAGCAUCUAAAUUUGGGUCAAUACCAGCAAAAAUAUCUCUGAACAAGGUUCUAUCACCAUGCCAAAUAUGUCCGAAGAAGAAGAGCAAAGCAAAUGAAGCAUGCCCAUAAGUGAACCAACCCCUUGGACUGCUAUGAAAAACACCAUCGGAUUUCAAAGUAGCACGAUCUAAUUCAAAAAUUUCACCCAAUUGAUCACGUCUAGCAUAUUUUUUCACAGUAGCAGGAUCACUAUAACUGAAGCCGUUGAGUUAACUGCCGUAGAACUCAACAGUUACACCUACUUGUUCAACACUAUAAUUUGAUUCUGCCCUUCUAAAAGGAACAUCAGCCCUAACAAUUCCAUUGCCGUCUACUAAAAUGACCGGAAAUGUUUCUGAAAAAGUAGGCAUACGACGUACAAAAAGUUCAUGCCCUUUUUUAUCUCUAAAGAUAGGGUGUCCUAACCAUCCAACCGCUAUUCCAUCCCCAUUAUCGAUUGAACCUGCUUUAAAUAAUCCUCUUUUCACUGGAUUAUUGCCGAUGUAAUCAUAAAAAGGUAAUUUUUUAGGAAUUUUAGACUAGGCUUCUGAUAAACUUUGAUUUUCUGCUAGCCUAGCACUAACUCUUUGAUAUAUUUCUUGCUGGAAGUACCCCUGAUCCCAUUGAUAAUGAGUGGGCCCAAAUAAUUCAAUCGAGGUAGUUGUCGAACCAUACCACAUAGUUUCAGCAACAACAAAAGCUGCAAAAAAGACAGCAUCAAUUCUACUGGAAAGGACGGUUUCAAUAUUUCCCAUACGCAAUCCUUUGUGUAGACAUUGUGGUGGAUGGAUGCUAAGAUGGAAUAGGUACGCUAAUAUGCCCAAUGUUCCUGCUGCAAUAUGAUGAGAGGCUAUUCCUCAUGGAACAAAAGGAUCAAAACUUUCUACGCCCUACGCUGGAAUUACAGGUUGUACUUUUCUCGUUAGUCCAUAAGGAUUGGACACCCAUAUUCUGGGACUAUAUAAGCCUGUUACAUAAAAUGCACCAAAACCAAAGCAAGCUACCCCUAAGAGAAAUAAAUGAAUUCCAAAGAUCUUUGGCAAAUCCAAAGAGGGUUUUUCUGUACGUUCAUCACAAAAUAUUUCUAGAUCCCACUACACCCAAUGCCAGAUAGCUGCCAAAAAGCAUAAGCCAGAAAACACAAUAUGUGCUCCCGCUACACCUUCAUAACUCCAAAUACCUGGAUUCGUUACAGUCUCCCCUGUGAUACUCCAACUGCCCCAUAAAUUGGUUAUUUCUAAACGAGUCAUGAAGGGUAUAACGAACAUACCCUAUCUCCACAUUAGAUUAAGAACAGGAUCAGAAGGAUUAAAAAAUGCUAAUUCAUACAGAGCCCUCGAAUCGGCUCAACCAGCAACUAGAGCAGUAUGCAUUAUAUGAACAGAAAACAACCGACUAGGAUCAUUCAAUACAAUGGUAUGAACACGAUACCAAGGAUAACCCAUGGAAAUACCCCUUAUAUCAAAGAUAAAUGGACACUACUUAACUUUAUUACAUUGGAAAAGACUAUAAUAUGACUAUCCUAUGGACCACUCUUGUUCAGUCAAUUAUUUCCGAAUCAAGGGUGUUCUAUUCUGGUAGUAAUAAUGGAACAAUUCUUUUUGUAGGAACAAGGAGAAGUAGAUUUAUUCUAUACUCAAUAAGUACCAAUACGCAAUGGGGGAGUUGAUCUCAUUUUCUAUGAGCGAAUGAGUCCAUACUUAUUUAUCAUUAGAAAGACCUAUUCGUAAUAAUUUGAGUUUAUUCAUUCUGUCUUUCUUUAUGAAUUUUUAGAAUCUAUGGAUAAAAUAAAUACGAUAAGAACCAAUAUGAAUAUUCUAAAGACAAUAAAAAAAUUGUUACGUUUCCACCUCAAAGUGAAAUAUAGUAUUUAGUUCUUUCUUUCAUUUAAUGCCUAUUGGUGUUCCGAAAGUUCCCUUCCGAGGUCCUGGAGAGGCAAAUCCACUUUGGGUUGACGUAUAGUGCGACUUGUCAGAUAUAUUGGGUCAUAUGGUAUUUCCCCGUUCUCUCCCCCGAUCGAGAUAUCCCCCGUUUCGCCCAAGAACGAUAAAACGAUAAAUUGAAUCAUCAAAAAUUUGGAGCGUGAAGUGCAAUUAGAUCCAUUUUUGAGGGGAUUCAUAUUACUAUUAUCAAUUAGAAUAAUUUAUGGUUGGCUUGGUUGGACUAAAAAAAUGAAGUAUCCAGGCUCCGUUUAGAAAAAACCCAAUUGGAUUGGUAAGAUAUCUAUGAUUGCUAUUCAUAUUUUUUCUUUGUAAUUUGUAAAGAGAUCCUAAUUGUCAAGCAAAGUUAUCUCAACUCUAAUAAAUACUUGUAUAAAAUGAAUUGAAAAAAAAAGAAAUACAAAAAGAAAUGGUAAUGGGAGCAUUUGUCCUAUAUGUACAAAUCCAAAUCGUGUGGAUCUUUACACGGAGUAGAGCAUAAACCUGAAAAAAUGAAACAGACCCAUUCAGGAACAAGAAAAUAACAUCGCAGUUUGGAUUAAAUCUCGAUGAAAGAAUACAUCAAUGAGAAGUUAAUUUGAUAAGUUUAAUGACCCUUUCUUAUAACUUCUAAUUUUAUACUGGAAAAUCAAAAAUAGGAGUAUAAAAAAGGAGUCAAAACUCCUCUUUAUUGAAAAAUUGAAGAAAAGCCCUUUCGUUAGAAGUAAGAAAUAACCUUUCUAGAAAAAAGAAAGAUGAAUGGAAUCUAUACAUUGAGUCACAAUUUUUUUGAACCGUAUGCAUCAAAAGGUGCAUGUACGGUUCCUAAGGAAUACAAUUUUACCCUAAUCAACCGACUUUAUUGAGAAAGAUUACUUUUUUUAGGCCAAGGUAGGAAUAGCGAGAUUUCGAAUCAACUUAUUGGUCUUAUGGUAUAUCUCAGUAUUGAGGAUGAGACCAAAGAACUGUAUUUAUUUAUAAACUCUCCUAGGGGCUGUGUAAUACCUGGGGUGGCUAUUUAUGAUACUAUACAAUUUGUGCAACCAGAUGUCAAUACAGUAUGCAUAGGAUUAGCCGCUUCAAUGGGAUCUUUUAUCCUGGUCGGAGGAGAAAUUACCAAACGUCUAGCAUUCCCUUACGCUUGGCGUCAAUAAGGUUUUUAUUUGAGAGAAAAAACAAGACUAUGCCUUCUCCAUAUGAAUACUAAGUAAUAAUAGCAUGGAAUUUCGAAUUUGAUGUGAGAAAUUUUGUAUUGUUUUUUUUUUUUCAAAACAUUAGAUUCUGUAUCGAGAGAGUAGUAUGAGAUAAGGGGUAUUUCCAAUUUUCUCUUAUCUAUUGGGACUUCGGUUCAACGUCACAAACUUUUUAGUUUUCAUACCGUAGAGUUCUUAACAAUAUUUAUGUUCUGAAAGAGUACGAAAAAAAAAUAUUUUUUCCUUAUUUGAUCGGAUUAAAAAGAAACUUUGGGAUUGCUGAAUCACAGACAAAAAAAAGAAAAAAAAACAUAUAAACCAACGGAGCCAUCAUAGUAUUUUUUAACUCCUCCGAAAGGAAGGAUGGCAAUUUGAUUAUUUACCCAUUGGAGUCUGAUAGAUUCUAUUUUUCUCUUUCUUCAAUAGAAAGGAGGGGAGUCAAUUUUCUUUUAGAGACGUAUGCACAAAAGAUGCCUGUACAGUUUCUCAAUUCUAUAUUUUUUCUAUUCUUUAUCUUUCUUUUCUCUUCUCUUUAUCAUGUGAGAUAGGAGAAGAUUUUAUUUUGUUAUAUCAUUAGGAUAAUGAUGUAUCAACCUGCUAGUUGUUUUUAUAUGGCACAAGUAACCGAAUGUGUCGUGGAAGCGGAAGAACUACUGAAACUGCGUGAAACCUUCACAGGGGUUUAUGUACAACGAACGGGCAAACCCUUCUGGGUUGUAUCCGAAGAUAUGGAAAGAGAUGUUUUUAUGUCAGCAACAGAAGCACAAGCUUAUGGAAUUGUUGAUCUUGUAGCGAUUCAAUGAAAAUAACAUGGAUUUCGCGCAAAUCACAGAUUUGCGAUUUUAUCUUCGAAUUGAAUAUUCUAUUAAAUUGAAUAUUCUAUUAAAUAGAAGUAAUUCAUCAUCAUUCGGUUAGGAUCAAUCUAAACCAACCCAUCAUAUUAUGUAUACGAUUCAACAUGCCAACUAUUAAACAACUUAUUAGAAAUACAAGACAGCCAAUCAGAAAUGUCACGAAAUCCCCCGCUCUUCGGGGGUGCCCUCAGCGUCGAGGAACAUGUACUAGGGUGUAUGUGCGACUCGUUUAGAUCAUGAGCUGGCACAAAAGAAAGAAAACGACUUUUACAGUAUCAAUGAUCAGUACCGGUGAAUGGGAUAGGAUGGAAAAAGGAACUCCAUUCAUUAUUAAAAAAAAACUCUAUCAUAUCCCUCUAUUGUGUAUGAAGUUUAUGGUUUCCGUUGGUGUAAAUCCAAUCAAGAUGAUAAGAAACUCUCCAUUGGUAACAAAUGGUUAUCCAUUAAGUGGAGGAAAUCUUAUUUUAAAAGCAUAAAACAUAAAGAUUAGUUAGGCUCCCAAUCUGGCAAGAACGGACUAAAAGGGUCAGCUACCCAGCCAACUUUCAUAAUUAAAUACCGUUACUGUAUAGGUAGAUCUGACAGUGAAUGACCUAUUAUUGGAUAAUUCAUGGGUAGAGCCAAAGCGUGUGAACUAUACAAGUUGCCAAUAACAUCAAUUAGUUGAUUAAAUAUAUAUUAAAUUAAAGUCUAAAGUAAAGGCUCCGGUGUAUAGAGAAGACCUCACCGUUUAAGAAGUAACCAUAGAAACGAAGUUACCCACUAUUUCUUUUUUUUAUUUCUUUUAUUUUAUUUUUGAUACCUAGGAAAAUACAAUUUCUUAUUUCUUUCUUAUUUCGCAGUGAAAUACCUAAAAAAAAAAAAAAUAACAAAAUCGUGGUCGGGAAGGUUAGAGUAUCCAAAGCCAUUGGAAUUUUUAUUUUAUACAAUGGAAAAAUCCGUUUUGUUAUUAAUAGACUAGGAAGGGGGAAAGGAAUAACUGAAAGAAAGGUAAUCAAUUAAUAAUUUGUCAAAUUUUCAUUUAUUCAAUAACCAGAAUUAAACGGGGAUAUAUAGCUCGGAGAUGUAGAAAAAAAAUUCAUUUAUUUACAUCAAGCUUUCGAGGGGCUCAUUCAAGGCUUACUAGAAUUAUUACUCAACAGAAAAUAAGAGCUUUAGUUUUGGCUCAUCGGGAUAGGGGUAGGAAAAAGAGAGAUUUUUGUCGUUUGUGGACCACUCGGAUAAACGCAACAAUUCGCAAAGGGGGAGUCUCCCAUAGUUAUAGUAAAUUAAUAUACAAUCUGUACAAUAGAUGGUGUCUUAUUAACCAUAAAAUACUUGCACAAAUAGCUAUAUCAAAUAGGAAUUGUUUUUAUAUGAUUUUGAACAAAAUCAACUUGGAGUCUUUACCGGAGGCUUUAAAAACUCCCCAGGCUCUUCUAAGAAUAAAUGGAGGUUUCUUCUACCGGACGAGUUAGAAAUUAGUAUGAGAAAUAUGCUAAAGUAGUCAAAAUGAAUGAACACGUUCAAUUCAAUAAAAACAGAUUUCGUUUUUUCCGAUUCAUUUGUUUCUUACGACACGAUACUCAAAUCUAGAUUUGAGUGAAUCUAGAUUUGAGUAAUUAUGAUUCAAGUAAAGAAAAAGUAAGCCUAUUUAUUUUGGGCUUUAAAACCAGUAGUUCUAGCGGUCGACUCAGUCCUUUCAAAUUGUUUGUCAUUAUUGAGAAAAGGUAACAAAGAUAAAAUACGGGCUUGUUUUAUAGCAAGAGUGAUUAAUCGUUGUUAUUUCAAGGUCAAUCUAUUCACGCGUCUUGAUAAUAUUUUUCCUUGUUCACUAAUAAAUCGACUAAUUAAACUCAUGUUUCUAUAAUCAAUUCGAUCCCCCGAUUGAAUCGGGGGCAAACGCCUACGAAAAGAUCGCUUGAAUUUAAGAAAAGGUCGCUUGGAUUUAUCCAUGGUUUGUUUGUUUAAUUUAUUCCUUAUCCCUAAAAUCCUAUUUCUUAAUUCUAAUUCAUUUUAAAUCCACCCAAAAUAAAAUAGGAGUUUUGAAAAAUAGGAUUUGUUUAGUUUCUAUUUAAAUAUGUUAUAUAUAAUGUCAUUUUUUCCCCUUCCUUGAAAGGGUAAGGCACAGGUACUUGGUUCGCUCUGUUUUUUUAUCUCCCCAUGAAUCGUAUGUUUGUAACAAUAGGGAUAGAGUUUUUUCAAUUCUAAUCGAUUAGGCGUAUUGUGCCAGUUCUUUUGAGUAUUAUAUCUGGAAAUAACUCUUGAUACCUUAUCAACACUAUUUCGGACACAACUAGUACAUUCCAAAAUCACCGUUACUCGGACAUCUUUCCCCUUGGCCAUGAACCUCAUUUGGCUUUUUGAUUUACUCAACCUUCUAUUUUCGAUUCAAAA
rnacentral:lncRNA from 1 species